GAUUUUGGACAAUUGGCGCAAACCUGAUCCAGCCAUGCCGCGUGCAGGAUGAAGGCCUUCGGGUUGGAAACUGCUUUUGUACGGGAAGAAAAGGCUUGGGUUUAUACCCUGGGUACAUGACGGUUCCCUACGAAAAAGCACCGGCUAUCAUCCGGCCAUGCGCCGCGGUAAUACGUAGGGUGCAAGGGUUAGUCGGAAUUACUGGGCGUAAAGCGUGCGCAGGCGGUUUUGUAAGACAGUGGUGAAAUCCACGGGCUCAACCUGGGAACUGCCAUUGUGACUGCAAGGCUGGAGUGCGGCAGAGGGGGAUGGAAUUCCGCGUGUAGCAGUGAAAUGCGUAGAUAUGCGGAGGAACACCGAUGGCGAAGGCAAUCCCCUGGGCCUGCACUGACGCUCAUGCACGAAAGCGUGGGGAGCAAACAGG
rnacentral:rRNA from 1 species